AUUGAACGCUGGCGGCAUGCCUUACGCAUGCAAGUCGAACGGCAGCACGGGCUUCGGUCUGGUGGCGAGUGGCGAACGGGUGAGUAAUGUAUCGGAACGUACCUUUCAGUGGGGGAUAACGUAGCGAAAGUUACGCUAAUACCGCAUAUUCUGCGAGCAGGAAAGCAGGGGAUCGCAAGACCUUGCGCUGAUUGAGCGGCCGAUAUCAGAUUAGCUAGUUGGUGGGGUAAAGGCCUACCAAGGCGACGAUCUGUAGCGGGUCUGAGAGGAUGAUCCGCCACACUGGAACUGAGACACGGUCCAGACUCCUACGGGAGGCAGCAGUGGGGAAUUUUGGACAAUGGGGGCAACCCUGAUCCAGCCAUGCCGCGUGAGUGAAGAAGGCCUUCGGGUUGUAAAGCUCUUUCGGCCGGGAAGAAAUCGCAUGGGUUAAUACCCUGUGUGGAUGACGGUACCGGAAUAAGAAGCACCGGCUAACUACGUGCCAGCCGCCGCAGUAAAAC
rnacentral:rRNA from 1 species